GGACUACAGGGGUUUCUAAUCCCGUUUGCUACCUUGGCUUUCGUGCCUCAGCGUCAGAAAAGACCCAGUAAGCCGCCUUCGCCACCGGUGUUCCUCAAGAUAUCAACGCAUUUCACCGCUCCACCUUGAGUUCCGCUUACCUCUGUCUCCCUCUAGCACGGUAGUUUUGAGUGCAAUUCCUCAGUUGAGCUGAGGGCUUUCACACCCAACUUACCGCACAGCCUACGCACCCUUUAAGCCCAGUAAUUCCGAAUAACGUUCGUACGGUUCGUCUUACCGCGGCUGCUGGCAC
rnacentral:misc_RNA from 1 species